AAUUAUAUGGAAUUUAUAUAUAAAGUAUGAAAAUCAUAUGUAUAAGCACUUUUGCCUUGAUGGUUUGUUUAUGGUUCAUGAUUGUAGUCAAGACAGAAACAGCAGCCAAGACAGAAAGAGUUUCUGUGUUCGUUCACCAUGAGGAUUUGUUCGUUAUCCUUCAGAAAGUGAAACUGUUGAGAGUUGAACUUAAUUAAUGAUUGUGCAUGGAAACCCCAAUAUUGUUGUUAACAACCAUUUUAUCAAUAAAUAUGAGAGAUGCCUUCUCGGCAGCACUCUUGCAUUGUCACGCCUUGAGUCCCCUGGCUGGUCCUUAAGAUCUUCGACGAACAAUCGUGUCUCUUCCCUCAUCUGCGGGUCAGAGACAGGGAAGGGACCCGACAAGUGGCGCCCAAACAGGGACCUGAAAGACGGUCAAAACUAAGGAUGGAGAACCUCCGCUCGGCAGCACUUGCAAUUCUAAGGCGGGGAAAGCUCUGAAGAUCGUCGAUCUGAGGAUCAACGCUUGAUUUGGCUACCCAGAAAAAGAAUUAAGAUACGAUAUGAAGAAGAACUCCCAAUAUCAACAUCCUCAGAAAGAGCUGCUCCAGAGGAUGGCCACCAACAAACUUCAUCACUGGAAUGAAGUUUCCUGAAUAGUGAAGUUUCUACUUUUAUUUUUGGUGAUAACAUUCAUACAUACACACACUGCACAAGCUUGCACUAUUACAGCUAGUGUGAACAGUCCUCCAUAUUUAGGCCGAGGAGUAGUUCUUCAGUGUGUAUCCACCUGUUCUACUCCUAUAGGUCCUAUAGUAUGGAAAAAAGAUGGUAAAGAGAUAUAUAGACCAAAGUAUGGAGGAAAGCUUGGGUGGAAUUAUGCAACUGAUCAGUCUAAAAGAGAUAAUACUCGCUAUGACAUUUACAAAACAGUUUUGACCAGAAAUGAUAUUGGCAAUUAUUCUUGUGAGAAAUAUCAAAAAGGAUCUCCUGAUAUAUAAUAUAAAAGUAGUUAUGUCUACUUAGACAUAUCACUCUCUCCAGAGUGAGAAUUUUCUUCACCUAAUAUGUGGCUACAACUUGCAAGUCGAGGACUGAACAAGUCAUCUUUUUGUGUAGCAGGAGAUUCCUCUAUUAGUGGAUUAUUAAAGAAGAAUUUGAUAGGUAUAGGACUCCCUUUUUCUGUUUUCACAAAUAUUUCAGGAAUAAACAUUACUCACUCUCCUAAAGUUCUUACUCGUGAAGUUCAAUUGAACUUACCUGUCAGUACUACUAUAGUUUCUGAAUGUAUAUGCAUUAAUUGCACUCAUAUUCCUUCUUACUGUAAUUCUACCAUUCAUGUAAAAUGGCCUUUUGGAUAUAGACUUCCAAAUGGCUGGGUAUUUUUAUGCAAUAACAAAACAUAUCAAGCCUUUUCUUCACAUUAUCAAGGUGUUUGUGGAGUAGGACGUAUUCUUCCUGCUCUUAUAGACCAUCCUGGAUACAAACACAAACAGAUUUCUCGAGCCCUGUCACCUAAUUGUGAUGACAACUUGAAGUUGUUAGAUCCUGUUGCUGUAGCUGUCGCUGCUGCAUUCAUCUUACCAGUUCCAGUACUCGUAGGAAUGCAGAAUGAAAUAUCCAAGAUGGCCUGUGCAUACAGUAAAACAACAAACCUGACUGCUUCUGUAUUAUCUGAACUCAACCAAGAACUAGGAGAAGUAUGAGUUGCAGUACUUCAAGACUGCACUACUAUAGACUAUCUAUUGUUAAAAGAACAUAUGGGAUGUGAACAGUUUCCAGGCAUGUGUUGUUUUAAUCUGACUUUUCUCAAACUAUUCACAAUCAAAUAGACAAUAUUCAUCAUAUUAUUGAUGUUUUCUCAAAUGCCUGAAUUACCUAAAUGGUUUUCUUGGUUUCACUGGAUAUGGUCAGUAAUUGUAGGCCUGUUUCUUUUGUGUAUUUGCCUUCCAGUCUUGAUAGCCUGGAUGCAUGAUAUAGUCACCAGUUUGUUGAAACCAAUGCAUGCUUAUGCUACUUUCCUGGAAGUGAUGUCUAAAAAAUGAUUGUCCUUUGUUUGCAUUGUUACUUAUGAAAGUCCGUGCACUAAAUCUUUGUAUUUUGUGAUUUCUAUGAUUAAGGCUGGACAUAAGAGUGAGAGUAUGAAAAACAUCAACAAACAUCAGUCUACUCCUAAUGCCUCCUUUUUUCACACGAUCUCUCCCUGUGUGGCCCCAGGGGAUGGCUGGUUAGCCAGAGACGGGUAAGAUUCCUCAUGGGAGGAACAACCUAAGACAGGCACAGUCAUAAAGGGUCAACAGGUGAGGAGGUGGGGGCCAACUGAGGCGAGGCUUAGAACCUCAUACCCCAUUUAUAUGAGGCAUUCUCUGCUGCUUUUGUCCAGCUAGGUUGAUAUUUAAAAAAUUAAGAACAGAUCUUUCGCUUGAGUUACAACAAUCAUUAUCUUGAAGCCUUUUAAAAACAAAAAGGGGGAAAUGUGGGAAUUAUAUGGAAUUUAUAUAUAAAGUAUGAAAAUCAUAUGUAUAAGCACUUUUGCCUUGAUGGUUUGUUUAUGGUUUAUGAUUGUAGUCAAGACAGAAACAGUAGCCAAGACAGAAAGAGUUUCUGUGUUCGUUCACCAUGAGGAUUUGUUCGUUAUCCUUCAGAAAGUGAAACUGUUGAGAGUUGAACUUAAUUAAUGAUUGUGCAUGGAAACCCCAAUAUUGUUGUUAACAACCAUUUUAUCAAUAAAUAUGAGAGAUGCCUUCUCGGCAGCACUCUUGCAUUGUCA